rnacentral:rRNA from 1 species
GAUGAACGCUGGCGGCAUGCCUAAGACAUGCAAGUCGAACGAAGUGGCCCAAUGAAGAAUGCGAGCUUGCUCAAAUUUGGAUUUGGUUUACCACUUAGUGGCGCAAGGGUGAGUAACACGUGGGUAAUCUGCCUUCGAGUCUGGAAUAACAGUUAGAAAUGAUUGCUAAUGCCGGAUUAUAUAUGUAACGAUACGUCAUUAUAUAUUAAAAGGAGCCUUUAAAGCUUCGCUUGAAGAUGAGCCUGCGCCGUAUUAGUUAGUUGGUGGGGUAACGGCCUACCAAGACGACGAUGCGUAGCCGACCUGAGAGGGUGAUCGGCCACACUGGGACUGAGACACGGCCCAG